rnacentral:sRNA from 1 species
UUCACUUGUGGCGUUGUUGAAGCUCUGC